GAUGAACGCUGGCGGCGUGCUUAACACAUGCAAGUCGAACGUGAGGGUGUAGCAAUAUGCCUGAAAGUGGCGAACGGGUGAGUAACACGUAGGUAACCUGCCUUGAAGCGGGGGAUAACGGCUGGAAACGGCUGCUAAUACCGCAUAUUGUGAGUGGAGUGGGAACUUCACUUGUGAAAAUUUUGGUGCUUCAAGAGGGGCCUGCGUCCGAUUAGCUAGUUGGUGGGGUAAGAGCCUACCAAGGCGAUGAUCGGUAGCUGGUCUGAGAGGACGAUCAGCCACACGGGAACUGAGAAACGGUCCCGACUCCUACGGGGGGCAGCAGUGAGGAAUAUUGGGCAAUGGGCGGAAGCCUGACCCAGCAACGCCGCGUGGAGGAUG
rnacentral:rRNA from 1 species